UUACUUAUAAAUAAGAAAUGAUGGAGGGGACUAGUGCAUUGUCAAAAUUUGUUUUCUUUUCAUUUCAAGGUUUUCAUACCACCAAUUCAGAAAUAGAUCGUGAAACCAAAGUAAGUUUCUUUGUUUAUUUUUAAUUUUUUUCACUAAAUUUUAUGAAUUUGGUUGUGGCUAAUGGGGGAGUAGGUAAUUUUUUUUUAUAUUAUUAAACUUUGGUUUAGUUUCUUAUGAGUUUUAUAUUCUUUUGACCUAAAAACUAGGUUGUCAGUUUAUCAUGUGGCGGAGCUAUUAGAUAUUUUAUUCAAUGAAGAUCACGAGCGAAGUGUCUCAAGUUAGGACAUUCCAUUCAAAAAUUCGAGAAUCUCCCAUUGAAAUGAAAUUAGUCAAUAGAGUUAGUACUCCCAAAAUGGAUAUUGGGUGAAAUACUAUUACGUUAAAAUUUCAUCUGAUAUUUCAAGAUGAUUGACGUUGUUUCUCAGCUUCGAUAAUUUCCUCAAAGGUGAGUUGCUUUGUCUCUUCUUAGUUAUUUAACCUAAAAUUUUUUUGUACUUGCUUGCGUUAUGAAAUAUCGUGUUUAGAUUCUAAGGGAAGAUCAUAUUAUUAAAGAGCUAACACGGUGUCUUUCACAAGGCCAUGGGGUAAGCAAUGUCGGCAAACAAAGACAGUAUGGCCCUACAUUUUAGAGCUGGGAAGAUUAUGUAGGGACACGAUUCAUGUGUUUAUUAAGAAUAUUAUUGUGAAGGCCAAGUGAUUUAAAUUUUAUUUCCAUUUUAUGUUGCACAUGAUUAUGAUUUACGUUAUUCAAUGAUGAAACUGAUCAUUAUCAUUGUUAGUCACAAUCAUGUGCAACAUAAAGUGAGAAAAAAAAAUUAAAACCACAUAUUACUGACAAAAGUAUUCAAUAUACACACAUGAAAUCUCACCCUCCACAAUUUUCUCGGCUCUAAAAUGUGGGUUCAGAAUGUCUUUGUUUGCCAACAUUGCUUCCUCCAUUGCCUUUUGAAAGUCACUGUGUUAGCUCUUAAAAAAUAUGGUCUUCCCUUAGAAUCUAAAUAAGACAUUUAAUUUGUUUUAAUUUUCCAAAAGAUUAUAUAAUUUAAUUAGAGUAUAUAAAAGUAGAUUGAAUAUUGAUGUUUCAUACAAAAUAAUAUAUGCACUAUUUAGCAGAGAAGUCUAAUACGUCUCAACAAAUUUGCAGUUCUUUACAAAACUAUUAUAAAUAAAAAAUAGUAAUAUUUGUUCUGAAUUUAUAAUAAAAGUUAAUUUAUAGUUAAAAAUUAAAAGGAUCUAUCUUUAAAUAUAUAUUCAAGCUAUAUAAUCAUUCAAUAUUCAAAGUUUUUAUCAAAAAUUUAACAUAUAAAGUGAAAAUAUUUUCUUUUCACUAACUAUAUUUGUUAUUGAAAAUCUGAAAAUUGUAAGAUUCAUAUUUAUAUCCUCUUUAAACAUAAUUUCCCCCCAAAAGUUAUGUUUUAGAAUUAUAAAAGGAUAUUAUAAUUUAUUUUCAAUUAAAAGAAUAUAUUGUUUGAAAGUAAUAAUUGCAUGUACAUUGAAAAUCCUAUUUCACAUAAAUAGUCAUGUACUGUUUAAAAUAUACUUAUUUAAAAUAUUUAACAUACAAUGUUUUUUAAUGAAGAUUUAACAUAUAAAUUUACCUAAAUGAUCUUUUAUUCUUAUCUUAAUUUCAGAAAAUAAAAAUAAAAUAAAAAUUAACUAUAAAUAUCUUUAUUUGAAAAAGGAUAUAAUUUUUUUAUUUUCAAAUGAAAAUAUAUAUUAUUUGAUAGAGUAAUUAUUGUACAUUGAAUAUGCCUUAUUUCACAUAAAAAAUAUAGGUAGUAUAUAAAAAUAAAAUAAAAAAUAUUUUUAAAAGGGUACAAUAAUUUAUUUUCAAACCAAACAACUCUAAUGGUGGUAUUAAAAGAACUUGUCAACACGGGAUUCUUAUCGGAAUGUGAAUGUCCCGAUAAAAGAUUCUUCGCCCAUGAUCUUGAGUGAAUAAAACUCCGAAGGCUCCACCUCAUGAUGAUAUAAUGAUCUAUAAGGAAUAGGAACUCGUUAUGCCUGCUGGCAGUAACUUAAUAUUUAAUCUUGUCUUAUGAUUUUUAUCUUGAUGCUUAAAUUUUUAUUGCUCUCAAUACUAAAUCGUUAUCUUAAAUUGUAACAUAAUACAUUUUUGUAUCUAACAAUGUGCCCGACAUCCUGAACACGGCUGAAAGAAACUGGGGUCCUCAAUGUAAAGUUAUCAUUCAAGAUUCUAUGGUUUCCUAUCAUUAAUAUUAUAUAGUUUUCCAACAAUCAUAUCAAAUUCAACCACAAACUUAUGCAUUGAAAACAACCAUUGAACCUUGCGCAGUCAUAAGUGGGUUUCAUAUAUGUGUGUGUAUUUUUUUUUUUCAAAAUUCAACCAUAAACUUAUAUAUAUGUGUGUAUUUUUUUCAAAAUUUAAAUUAUACUACUCUAAAACAUCUUUCAAAUGCAAUCAAUCAAAUCACGUAUAUUUAGAUUAAUUUUUAAAAUAGUUCUAAAAAUAUUUACAGAACUCCGUACAUUUGGAUAUAUGUUAAAACAAUAUUAUAUCAUGAACUCAUAAGAAAACUUUUCACAUAAAUAUAAUUAAUGACCCUUCGGAAAGGUAAAUUAAUUGUUUUAAUUUUCCAAAAGAUUAUAUAAUUUAAUUAGAGUAUAUAAUAGUAGAUUGAAUAUUGAUGUUUCAUACAAAAUAAUAUAUGCACUAUUUAGCAUGAGAAGUCUAAUAUCGUCUCAACAAAUUUGCAGUUCUUUACAAAACUAUUAUAAAUAAAAAAAUAGUAAUAUUUGUUCUGAAUUUAAUAUAAAAGUUAAUUUAUAGUUAAAAAUUAAAAGGAUCUAUCUUUAAAUAUAUAUUCAAGCUAUAUAAUCAUUCAAUAUUCAAAGUUUUUAUCAAAAAUUUAACAUAUAAAGUGUAAAAUAUUUUCUUUUCACUAACUAUAUUUGUUAUUGAAAAUCUGAAAAAUUGUAAGAUUCAUAUUUAUAUCCUCUUUAAACAUAAUUUCCCCCCAAAAGUUAUUGUUUAAGAAUUUAUAAAAGGAUAUUAUAAUUUAUUUUCAAUUAAAAGAAUAUAUUGUUUGAUAUAGUAGAUAAUUGCAUGUACAUUGAAUAAUCCUUAUUUCACAUAAAUAGUCCAUGUACUGUUUAAAAAAAUAUACUUAUUAUAAAAUAUUUAACAUACAAUGUUUUUUAAUGAAGAUUUAACAUAUAAAAUUUACCUAAAUGAUCUUUUAUUCUUAUCUUAAUUUCAGAAAAUAAAAAUAAAAUAAAAAUUAACUAUAAAUAUCUUUAUUUGAAAAAGGAUAUACUUUUUUUAUUUUCAAAUGAAAAAUAUAUGUUAUUUGAUAGAGUAGAUUAUUGUACAUUGAAUAUGCCUUAUUUCACAUAAAUAAUAUAGGUAGUAUAUAAAAAUAAAAAUAAAAAUAUUUUUAAAAGGGUACAAUAAUUUAUUUUCAAACCAAAAUUAAAUAUUAUUUGAUAUUGUAGAUAAUUGUUAACUGAAUAAACCUUGUGUCACAUUAAUUAUAUAUGUACUAUUUAAAGAAAAACGACCUAUUGUGAAUUUUUUUACAGAUAAUCUUUUUUUAAAUGAAGAUAUAACAUAUAAUGUUUAAUUAAUCUUUUCUUCCUAUCUUGAAAUAAAAAAAUAAAAAAUAUAUAAAACUUAAUAUAAAUAUCAUUAUUUAUAAAAGGAUAAAAUAUUUUAUUUUCAAACCAAAUAUAUAUAGUAUUUGAUAGAGUAGAUAAUUGUACAUUGAAUAUGCCUUGUUUCAAAUAAAUAAUAUAGGUACUAUAUAAAAAUAAAAAUAAAACUAUUUAGAAAAGGAUACAAUAGAUUAUUUUCAAACCAAAAGUAUAUAUUAUUUGAUAUUGUAGUUAAUUGUUAAUUGAAUAAGCCUCGUGUGACAUAAAUAUUAUAUGUACUAAUUAAAAAAACACCUAUUGUAAAAUAUUUUACAUAUAAUCUAUUUUUAAAUGAAGAUAUAACAUAUACUGUUUAAUUAAUCUUUUAUUCCUAUUUUGAAAUAAAAGAGUAAAAAAAUAUAAAAAUUAAUAUAAAAAUCAUAAUUUAUAAAAGGAUAUAAUAUUUUAUUUUUAAACCAAAUAUAUAUAGUAUUUGAUAGAGUAGAUAAUUGUACAUUGAAUAUGCCUUGUUUCACAUAAAUAAUAUAGGUACUCUAUAAAAAUAUAAAUAUUUAGAAAAGGAUAUAAUAAUUUAUUUUAUAACAAAAAGUAUAUAUUAUUUGAUAUAAUAGAUAAUUGUACAUUGAAUAUGCCUUGUUUCACAUAUAUAAUAUAGGUACUAUUUAAAAAUAAAUCUACCUGUUGUAAAAUAUUUAUCAUAUAAUCUUUUCUUAAAUGAAGGCAUAACAUAUAAUGUUUAAUUAAUUAUUUAUUCCUAUCUUGAAAUAAAAAAAGUAAAAAAGUAUAAACAUUAAUAUAAAAAUCAUAAUUUAUAAAAUGAUAUAAUAUUUUAUUUUCAAACCAAAUAUAUAUAGUAUUUGAUAGAGUAGAUAAUUGUACAUUGAAUAUGCCUUGUUUCACAUAAAUAAUAUAGGUACUCUAUAAAAAUAUAAAUAUUUAGAAAAGGAUAUAAUAAUUUAUUUUAUAACAAAAAGUAUAUAUUAUUUGAUAUAAUAGAUAAUUGUACAUUGAAUAUGCCUUGUUUCACAUAUAUAAUAUAGGUACUAUUUAAAAAUAAAUCUACCUGUUGUAAAAUAUUUAUCAUAUAAUCUUUUCUUAAAUGAAGGCAUAACAUAUAAUGUUUAAUUAAUUAUUUAUUCCUAUCUUGAAAUAAAAAAAAGUAAAAAAGUAUAAACAUUAAUAUAAAAAUCAUAAUUUAUAAAAUGAUAUAAUAUUUUAUUUUCAAACCAAAUAUAUAUAGUAUUUGAUAGAGUAGAUAAUUGUACAUUGAAUAUGCCUUGUUUCACAUAAAUAAUAUAGGUACUCUAUAAAAAUAUAAAUAUAAAUAUUUAGAAAAGGAUAUAACAAUUUAUUUUCUAACAAAAAGUAUAUAUUAUUUGAUAUAAUAGAUAUUUGUACAUUGAAUAUGCGUUGUUUCACAUAAAUAAUAUAGAUACUAUUUAAAAAAAAAAAACCUGUUGUAAAAUAUUUAUCAGAUAAUCUUUUCUUAAAUGAAGAAUAACAUCUAAAGUUUACCUAAUUAAUAUAUUAUUUUUAUAUUAAAUUAAAAAAGUAAUAAAAAUGAUAAAUGUUAAAACAUAAUUUGAAUAAAGUACAAACAAUCGAUCAAUUUUACUUAUAAAUAAGAAAUGAUGGAGGGGACUAGUGCAUUGUCAAAAUUUGUUUUCUUUUCAUUUCAAGGUUUUCAUACCACCAAUUGAGAAAUACAUCGUGAAACCAAAGUAAGUUUCUUUGUUUAUUUUUUCUUUUUUUCACUGAAUUUUAUGAAUUUGGUUGUGGCUAAUGGGGGAGUAGGUCUAUUUUUUUUUUUAUUAUUAAACUUUGGUUUAGUUUCUUAUGAGUUUUAUAUUCUGUUGACCUAAAAACUAGGUUGUCAGAUUAUCAUGUGGUGGAGCUAUUAGAUAUUUUAUUCAAUGAAGAUCACGAGCGAAGUGUCUCAAGUUAGGACAUUCCAUUCGAAAAUUCGAGAGUCUCCCAUUGACAUGAAAUUAGUCAAUAGAGUUAGUUCUCCCAAAAUGGAUAUUGGGUGAAAUACUAUUCCGUAAAAAUUUCAUCUUAUAUUUCAAGAUGAUUGACGUUGUUUCUCAGCUUCGAUAAUUUCCUCAAAGGUGAGUUGCUUUGUUAGUUAUUUAACCAUAAUAAUUUUUUUGUACUUGCUUGCGUUAUGAAAUAUCGUGUUUAGAUUCUAAGGGAAGAUCAUAUUAUUAAAGAGCUAACACGGUGUCUUUCACAAGGCCAUGGGGUAAGCAAUGUCGGCAAACAAAGACAGUAUGGACCUACAUUUUAGAGCUGGGAAGAUUAUGGAGGGACACGAUUCUUGUGUUUAUUAAGAAUAUUAUUGUGAAAGCCAAGUGAUUUAAAUUUUAUUUCCAUUUUAUGUUGCACAUGAUUAUGAUUU
rnacentral:lncRNA from 1 species